AGGACGAACGCUGGCGGCGUGCUUAACACAUGCAAGUCGAGCGGAAAGGCCUUUCGGGGUACUCGAGCGGCGAACGGGUGAGUAACACGUGAGUAAUCUGCCCAUCGCUUCAGGAUAGCCAUCGGAAACGGUGAUUAAUACUGGAUAUGACAUUCCUUCGCAUGUUGGGGUGUGGAAAGUUUUUUCGGCGGUGGAUGUGCUCGCGGCCUAUCAGCUUGUUGGUGGGGUAAUGGCCUACCAAGGCUUUGACGGGUAGCCGGCCUGAGAGGGUGACCGGCCACACUGGGACUGAGACACGGUCCAGACU
rnacentral:rRNA from 1 species